UACGGGGGGGGCAAGCGUUGUUCGGAAUUACUGGGCGUAAAGGGCGCGUAGGCGGUUUGCUAAGUUGGAUGUGAAAACUCUGGGCUUAACCCAGAGCCUGCAUCCAAAACUGGCUGACUUGAGUACUGGAGGGGAAAGCGGAAUUCCUGGUGUAGCGGUGAAAUGCGUAGAUAUCAGGAGGGACACCGGUGGCGAAGGCGGCUUUCUGGACAGUAACUGACGCUGAGGCGCGAAAGCUAGGGGAGCAAACAGG
rnacentral:rRNA from 1 species